AUUGAACGCUGGCGGCAGGCCUAACACAUGCAAGUCGAACGAGUGGCGGACGGGUGAGUAAUGUCUGGGAAACUGCCCGAUGGAGGGGGAUAACUACUGGAAACGGUAGCUAAUACCGCGUACCAUCGGAUGUGCCCAGAUGGGAUUAGCUCGUAGGUGGGGUAACGGCUCACCUAGGCGACGAUCCCUAGCUGGUCUGAGAGGAUGACCAGCGAAACGGGAACUGAGACACGGUCCAGACUCGUACGGGAGGUAGCAGUGGGGAAGAUUGAACAAUGGGGGGAAGCUUGAUGCAGCAAUGCCGAGUGUGGGAAGAAGGCCUUAGGGUUGUAAAGUACUUGUAGAGGGGAGGCGUUACCAGCAGAAGAAGCACCGGCUAAAGCCGUGCCAGCAGGCGCGGUAAUGC
rnacentral:rRNA from 1 species